UACGGGGGGAGCAAGCGUUGUUCGGAUUUACUGGGCGUAAAGGGCGCGUAGGCGGCCACCGCAAGUCGACUGUGAAAUCUCCGGGCUUAACUCGGAAAGGUCAGCCGAUACUGCGGGGCUAGAGUGCAGAAGGGGCAACUGGAAUUCUCGGUGUAGCGGUGAAAUGCGUAGAUAUCGAGAGGAACCCCUGCGGCGAAGGCGGGUUGCUGGGCUGACACUGACGCUGAUUGUGCGAAAGCUAGGGGAGCGAACAGG
rnacentral:rRNA from 1 species